GACCCGAAAUUUAUUAUUCGUUAUUUAAUUAUUUUAUUACGCGAGGGCGUAAUUCAUAAUUAUUUUAUUAAGCGGCGAAUAAUUAAUUGGCGCGAAUAUAAGUUAAUACGCGAGUUAGGAGCGUUACGUGAGUGAACCGUAUUAUUGGGCCUUGGAUUUGUUAUUGGGCUUUUGGCCCAAUGGGCCAAGACAAGUGGGAAGGGGGCGGUUUAUGUUAAGCAAGUGGGAGGGGAGAUAUUUUCAUUGCUUGGUUGUAAGAAAAGUCAAUAAAGUGGAAAGGAGAUAAGAGCAAGAGAAAGUGAACUUGGUGACUUAGAGGAAAUCACAAAACUCAUACUUCUUCUUCCUCCUUGGCCGUGUAUCUUCAUUCUUCUUUCUCUUCCAUCACCAAAAUUUCAUACCUUUACCAAAUUGAUCCAUCUUAAGCUUGUUGGAAACAUGAGAGUUCAUGGAUCAUCAUCCCUAAGCUAGGGCGAGCAAGAGAGCAAAGCAAGAGGGUGCUAGGGCUUGAGAAAGAGAGGAGCUCAUGAGAGCUAGAACAAGAGGAGCUUGAGGAUUCAUCAAAUUUCUAAGAUAUCCAGGUUGACAGGUUAUAUGUUAGCUUGUCCGAGUAGCGUGGUGAAGCUCCGCUCUGAUUGUGACACGGGGAGAAAAGGGGUUUUGUAUAUAUAUAUAUAUAUAUAAAUUCCUUUAGAAAAUUACUCUGUAAUUGCUUAUGUUUUCAUAUAAGAAUUAUUCUUUGUGAAAAGUAUUGGUUUUGUAUAACUUAUAACGCAUCGUGUUGAUGCGGAGGAUUUUGUAUUUUGUGAUAUUCAAACCAGCGCUUUAUAAUCAGAUUUUCAA